UACGAAGGGUGCAAGCGUUAUCCGGAAUUACUGGGCGUAAAGGGCUCGUAGGUGGCCAACUAAGUCAGACGUGAAAUCCCUCGGCUUAACCGGGGAACUGCGUCUGAUACUGGAUGGCUUGAGUUCGGGAGAGGGAUGCGGAAUUCCAGGUGUAGCGGUGAAAUGCGUAGAUAUCUGGAGGAACACCGGUGGCGAAGGCGGCAUCCUGGACCGGCACUGACACUGAGGAGCGAAAGCCAGGGGAGCAAACGGG
rnacentral:rRNA from 1 species